rnacentral:tRNA from 1 species
GAGGAUAUAGCUCAGUAGUAAAGUUCUUGCCUAGCACGCACCAGGCCCUGGGUUCAAUCCCCAGUACCCCCC